rnacentral:misc_RNA from 1 species
UACGUAGGUGGCAAGCGUUGUCCGGAAUUACUGGGCGUAAAGCGCACGCAGGUGGUUACUUAAGUCUGACGUGAAAGCUCCUGGCUUAACUGGGAGAGGUCGUUGGAAACUGGGUAGCUUGAGGCGAUGAGAGGGGUGUGGAAUUCCCGGUGUAGUGGUGGAAUGCGUAGAUAUCGGGAGGAACACCAGUGGCGAAAGCGGCACCCUGGCAUUGGCCUGACGCUCGUGUGCGAAAGCGUGGGUAGCGAACGGG